CAACUGUAACGGGACCCAGCCCUGGCUAGCAGGAGCAGCGCUGAAAACCACCAAGACUACAAAUCACUGCCUUCUUUGUUUCAACCGCAUUGUCGGGACUUAAAUUGCGUUUAGUUCCCUUUGUCUCUUCCCGCCACAGACUUCGACGGUGGACAACCUAGACGAGACUUUUGACAUUCUCGAGGAGUUUCUUCAGCCUCCUCAUGAAGCUGACAGAGGAAACUUGAGUUGAGAUCAUCGAUUGGAAAAAGCUUCUCCAGAACGGCAUUCAAAACUGUGUAAGUGGGAAGGGAAAUGUAGUUUUAAGGGUGACGCCAGCUUCUCAACGUGGACGUGCGUCAGCUGCCAUGUUGACUUCAAGUACCAGAAUCCAUUGCGUGGUUUUGGACGAGAUUCGUUAACUUGCUGAAGAUAUCAACACAACACUGCCAUCUAUUGACUAUUUAAUGAAACUACAACUAAUACCCACAAGAGAUUUUUUUUUUUUUAUAUUUUCUGAUUAAUUGUUUAGUCAAUGAAAUGUAAAGAAAAAAUGUCCGUCACAAGCUACCAGAGCUGCAGAGACUAGAUGUGUGUUUUUGUCAGCCCUGAACCCAAAAAUGUUCAAUUUAAAAUGUCAAUUUAAAGAAAGCAGACUGCAACUGUCAAAAUGAAUCAAUUAUGAGAAUAGUUAAUGUACUGUCAUUAGGCACAUUAAUUAAUUACCUAAUUAUAUCAGCUCUAUUUGUGAUUUAAAUGUAAAUAUAGCUCCACCAAUUCAAUCAGAACCCAUCUUUACUUCCUGAAUAAGGAUGGCAUUUAAAAAAAAAUAUUAAAAAUACAUAGACCAACAAUAUAAAACAUUAUUUGCAUAUAAAUUGUUGAACCCGUAAAUAAUGCUGAAAGCUCUCUAUGGUUUCCAUUGUUCUUGAGCCUCAACACCCUGUACUUUUAAAAGCCUCAAGACUCAAGCUGUAAAACCACAUGAAUGUGAAAGCAAAACAUUCUUAUCUGGGAUUUCCCUUCUGUCACGGGCUGGGCACAAAAGUGGCUGGUUUAUCUGUUACGGAAGUUGUCUUCUUGAUGUUUCUGUUGGUGCUACACCUGCCAGGAUAAUUUGCCUGAAGCUGCACAUAAAUGGUGGGUACACCUGCGUUUCCAGGUUUCAGGGUCGGUCAGCCUGUGAUAAUGUUAAUCCAUUUACUCACUGUUUCAAUCUCACUGUCUGCUGCUCAUUCUCUUGCUUUCUCUCUCUUUCUUUCACUAUAAUUCUCUCUCUCUGUGUUUCUAGCAACAGCCUACUUUGUGUUUAUCCAUUCAAGCCAUUUGUGUUGAUCUGUCUCUUCCAAGAGAUCACAGUCAUGUUUGUUUUUCAGGAACAUGGGAACAGGGACCUCAUCUUUGCUGUUUACCAAAACUACAAAUAUUACCAUUUUUAUUCGAUAUGCUUUGGUCUUGGAAGUGGAACAGCCCUCUAUAGGCCCUUUUGUUGUAAGUUACCAUACAGCACAGUAUCAUUUACGUUCUUGAAUGGUUUUUCAAAAUAA
rnacentral:lncRNA from 15 species